rnacentral:lncRNA from 1 species
UCAUGGUACUUUGGACCAAUCUCUCAUAGGUAGUGUAGUGAGUGUCCCUAAAAGCAGUUCAGUUACUAAUAAUGUUGUCAAUCAAGAAAAUGCCCAACCUCAAGUUGCUGUUGUUGCAGCAACCUCUUCCCCUACUCAAACCUUUGGCUCAGUUACCAGAGCUGACCAACAAAAAUCUCUGUCAAGUUCUGAUCACUCUGAAACUUCUGUAUCUGGUGUUUAUCCCUCUUCUUCAGAUCCUGUGCUGGCACCAUCUAUCUCCCGGAAUCCUGGUGUUGGUGGUGCUAUCAGUAGGGAAGUAGGGAGUGUCCAGAUAUCUGCUGAGCCAAAUCAUGUUAAAGCAAAUAAACUUGAAGAAGCUGGUGAUUUAUCUUCAGCAGAUGCACCCCAUAGUGCUGCAAAUCAAUCUAAUGGGAAGUCUGGUCAUGGUACUUUGGACCAAUCUCUCAUAGGUAGUGUAGUGAGUGUCCCUAAAAGCAGUUCAGUUACUAAUAAUGUUGUCAAUCAAGAAAAUGCCCAACCUCAAGUUGCUGUUGUUGCAGCAACCUCUUCCCCUACUCAAACCUUUGGCUCAGUUACCAGAGCUGACCAACAAAAAUCUCUGUCAAGUUCUGAUCACUCUGAAACUUCUGUAUCUGGUGUUUAUCCCUCUUCUUCAGAUCCUGUGCUGGCACCAUCUAUCUCCCGGAAUCCUGGUGUUGGUGGUG